rnacentral:rRNA from 1 species
UGAGUAUUGGGUGCAGACCGCUAGACCGAGUGGCGGACGGGUGAGUAACGCGUGAGCAACCUGCCCUGCAACGGGGGACAACAGUUGGAAACGACUGCUAAUACCGCAUAAGACCACGGUACCGCAUGGUACAGAGGUAAAAGGAUUUAUUCGAUGCAGGAUGGGCUCGCGUCCCAUUAGAUAGUUGGUGAGGUAACGGCCCACCAAGUCAACGAUGGGUAGCCGACCUGAGAGGGUGAUCGGCCACACUGGAACUGAGACACGGUCCAGACUCCUACGGGAGGCAGCAGUGGGGAAUAUUGGGCAAUGGGGGAAACCCUGACCCAGCAACGCCGCGUGAGGGAAGAAGGUCUUCGGAUUGUAAACCUUUGUCCUAUGGGACGAAACAAAUGACGGUACCAUAGGAGGAAGCUCCGGCUAACUACGUGCCAGCAGCCGCGGUAAUACGUAGGGAGCAAGCGUUGUCCGGAAUUACUGGGCGUAAAGGGUGCGUAGGUGGUCAUGUAAGUCAGAUGUGAAAGACCGGGGCUUAACCCCGGGAUUGCAUUUGAAACUGUGUGACUUGAGUACAGGAGAGGGAAGUGGAAUUCCUAGUGUAGCGGUGAAAUGCGUAGAUAUUAGGAGGAACACCAGUGGCGAAGGCGACUUUCUGGACUGUAACUGACACUGAAGCACGAAAGCGUGGGGAGCAAACAGGAUUAGAUACCCUGGUAGUCCACGCCGUAAACGAUGGAUACUAGGUGUGGGGCCCGAUAGGGUUCCGUGCCGAAGCUAACGCAUUAAGUAUCCCGCCUGGGGAGUACGAUCGCAAGGUUGAAACUCAAAGGAAUUGACGGGGGCCCGCACAAGCAGCGGAGCAUGUGGUUUAAUUCGAAGCAACGCGAAGAACCUUACCAAGGCUUGACAUCGUCUGACGACUGUAGAGAUACAGUUUCCCUUCGGGGCAGACAGACAGGUGGUGCAUGGUUGUCGUCAGCUCGUGUCGUGAGAUGUUGGGUUAAGUCCCGCAACGAGCGCAACCCUUAUUGCUAGUUGCCAGCACGUAAAGGUGGGAACUCUAGUGAGACUGCCGGGGACAACUCGGAGGAAGGUGGGGACGACGUCAAAUCAUCAUGCCCCUUAUGUCUUGGGCUACACACGUGCUACAAUGGCCGGUACAAAGGGCAGCGAACCCGCAAGGGGAAGCGAAUCUCAAAAAGCCGGUCCCAGUUCGGAUUGUGGGCUGCAACCCGCCCACAUGAAGUCGGAGUUGCUAGUAAUCGCGAAUCAGCAUGUCGCGGUGAAUGCGUUCCCGGGCCUUGUACUCACCGCCCGUCA